CGCCGAACUGAGGGAUGUCGAUGGUUCUAAUUAGGACUCGGGUAGCCCCCCCCCCCCACGCCUCUACGAGAAUUUGUGAUAUUUUCAACCAAUUUACAAAAUACUAUGAAUCUCUUAACUUUGCAAUCGCUUAGAGGCUAAAUAAACCAAUUAAACAAA